GGGAGAAACCGACAUGGAUGUCGGUUUCAGGUGCGCUGGGCAGGACGCCCAUCGCGCCGGCCCC
rfam:Pseudomonas sp. StFLB209 DNA, complete genome.